AUUGAACGCUGGCGGCAGGCUUAACACAUGCAAGUCGAGCGAGCGGCGGACGGGUGAGUAAUGUCUGGGAAACUGCCUGAUGGAGGGGGAUAACUACUGGAAACGGUAGCUAAUACCGCAUACCAUCAGAUGUGCCCAGAUGGGAUUAGCUAGUAGGUGGGGUAAAGGCUCACCUAGGCGACGAUCCCUAGCUGGUCUGAGAGGAUGACCGACGACACUGGAACUGAGACACGGUCCAGACUCCGACGGGAGGCAGCAGUGGGGAAUAUGGCACAAUGGGCGCAAGCCUGAUGCAGCCAUGCCGCGUGUGUGAAGAAGGCCUUCGGGUUGUAAAGCACUUUCAGCGGGGAGGCGUUACUCGCAGAAGAAGCACCGGCUAACUCCGUGCCAGCAGCCGCGGUAAUAC
rnacentral:rRNA from 1 species